UACGGAGGGUGCAAGCGUUAUCCGGAUUCACUGGGUUUAAAGGGUACGUAGGCGGUCUUGUAAGUCAAUGGUGAAAUCUAGCAGCUCAACUGCUAACGUGCCAUUGAUACUACAAGACUUGAGUAUAGUCGAGGUAAGCGGAAUUCCAGGUGUAGCGGUGAAAUGCGUAGAUAUCUGGAGGAACACCAAUGGCGAAGGCAGCUUACUGGACGACAACUGACGCUGAGGCACGAAAGCGUGGGUAGCGAAAGGG
rnacentral:rRNA from 1 species